rnacentral:rRNA from 1 species
UAAAACGUAGGGGGCAAGCGUUGCCCGGAUUCACUGGGCGUAAAGGGUGUGUAGGCGGACUGGAAAGUCCAAUGUGAAAGCCCUCGGCUCAACCGAGGAAUUGCAUUGGAUACUUCCAGCCUAGAGGACGGGAGAGGGGAGUGGAACUCCCGGUGUAGCGGUAGAAUGCGUGGAUAUCGGGAGGAACGCCAAUAGCGAAGGCAGCUCCCUGGAACGUUCCUGACGCUGAGACACGAAAGCUGGGGGAGCAAACAGGAUUAGAUACCCUGGUAGUCCCAGCCGCAAACGAUGUGCACUAGGUGUCCCUGAUUCUUUUGGGGGUACCGCAGCUAACGCGUUAAGUGCACCGCCUGGGGACUACGGCCGCAAGGCUA